AAAUUGAAGAGUUUGAUCAUGGCUCAGAUUGAACGCUGGCGGCAGGCCUAACACAUGCAAGUCGAACGGUAACAGGAAACAGCUUGCUGCUUUGCUGACGAGUGGCGGACGGGUGAGUAAUGUCUGGGAAACUGCCUGAUGGAGGGGGAUAACUACUGGAAACGGUGGCUAAUACCGCAUAAUGUCGCAAGACCAAAGAGGGGGACCUUCGGGCCUCUUGCCAUCAGAUGUGCCCAGAUGGGAUUAGCUGGUUGGUGAGGUAACGGCUCACCAAGGCGACGAUCCCUAGCUGGUCUGAGAGGAUGACCAGCCACACUGGAACUGAGACACGGUCCAGACUCCUACGGGAGGCAGCAGUGGGGAAUAUUGCACAAUGGGCGCAAGCCUGAUGCAGCCAUGCCGCGUGUAUGAAGAAGGCCUUCGGGUUGUAAAGUACUUUCAGCGGGGAGGAAGGUGUUGCGGUUAAUAACCGCAGCAAUUGACGUUACCCGCAGAAGAAGCACCGGCUAACUCCGUGCCAGCAGCCGCGGUAAUACGGAGGGUGCAAGCGUUAAUCGGAAUUACUGGGCGUAAAGCGCACGCAGGCGGUCUGUCAAGUCGGAUGUGAAAUCCCCGGGCUCAACCUGGGAACUGCAUUCGAAACUGGCAGGCUUGAGUCUUGUAGAGGGGGGUAGAAUUCCAGGUGUAGCGGUGAAAUGCGUAGAGAUCUGGAGGAAUACCGGUGGCGAAGGCGGCCCCCUGGACAAAGACUGACGCUCAGGUGCGAAAGCGUGGGGAGCAAACAGGAUUAGAUACCCUGGUAGUCCACGCCGUAAACGAUGUCUACUUGGAGGUUGUGCCCUUGAGGCGUGGCUUCCGGAGCUAACGCGUUAAGUAGACCGCCUGGGGAGUACGGCCGCAAGGUUAAAACUCAAAUGAAUUGACGGGGGCCCGCACAAGCGGUGGAGCAUGUGGUUUAAUUCGAUGCAACGCGAAGAACC
rnacentral:rRNA from 1 species